UACGUAGGGUCCGAGCGUUGUCCGGAAUUAUUGGGCGUAAAGAGCUCGUAGGCGGUCUGUCGCGUCGGCUGUGAAAACUCAGGGCUCAACCCUGAGCCUGCAGUCGAUACGGGCAGACUAGAGUUCGGUAGGGGAGACUGGAAUUCCUGGUGUAGCGGUGAAAUGCGUAGAUAUCUGGAGGAACACCGGUGGCGAAGGCGGCAUCCUGGACCAACACUGACACUGAUGAGCGAAAGCCAGGGGAGCAAACGGG
rnacentral:rRNA from 1 species